rnacentral:rRNA from 1 species
GGCAGAGGGUGCAAACGUUGUUCGGAAUUACUGGGCGUAAAGGGCUCGUAGGCGGCCAACUAAGUCAGACGUGAAAUCCCUCGGCUUAACCGGGGAACUGCGUCUGAUACUGGAUGGCUUGAGAUUGGGAGAGGGAUGCGGAAUUCCAGGUGUAGCGGUGAAAUGCGUAGAUAUCUGGAGGAACACCGGUGGCGAAGGCGACAUCCUGGACCAAUACUGACGCUGAGGAGCGAAAGCCAGGGGAGCAAACGGG